rnacentral:rRNA from 1 species
AGUGAACGCUGGCGGUAGGCCAACACAUGCAAGUCGAACGGCAGCACAGUAAGAGCUUGCUCUUACGGGUGGCGAGUGGCGGACGGGUGAGGAAUACAUCGGAAUCUACUUUUUCGUGGGGGAUAACGUAGGGAAACUUACGCUAAUACCGCAUACGACCUACGGGUGAAAGCAGGGGAUCUUCGGACCUUGCGCGAUUGAAUGAGCCGAUGUCGGAUUAGCUAGUUGGCGGGGUAAAGGCCCACCAAGGCGACGAUCCGUAGCUGGUCUGAGAGGAUGAUCAGCCACACUGGAACUGAGACACGGUCCAGACUCCUACGGGAGGCAGCAGUGGGGAAUAUUGGACAAAGGGCGCAAGCCUGAUCCAGCCAUACCGCGUGGGUGAAGAAGGCCUUCGGGUUGUAAAGCCCUUUUGUUGGGAAAGAAAAGCAGCAGGUUAAUACCCCGCUGUUCUGACGGUACCCAAAGAAUAAGCACCGGCUAACUUCGUG